GACGAACGCUGGCGGCGUGCCUAAUACAUGCAAGUAGAACGCAGUUGCGAACGGGUGAGUAACGCGUAGGUAACUGCCUCAUAGCGGGGGAUAACUAUUGGAAACGAUAGCUAAUACCGCAUACUAUGAGAUGGACCUGCGUUGUAUUAGCUAGUUGGUGAGGUAAAGGCUCACCAAGGCGACGAUACAUAGCCGACCUGAGAGGGUGAUCGGCCACACUGGGACUGAGACACUGCGCAGACUCCUACGGGAGGCCGCAGUAGUGAAGCUUCGGCAAUGGACGGAAGGAUGGCGAAGCAACGCCGCGUGAGUGAAGAAGGUUUUCGGAUAGUAAAGCGCUGUUGUUAGAGAAGCGGUAACUAACAAGAAAGGGAAGGCAAACUACGUGCCAGCAGCCGCGUUAAUAC
rnacentral:rRNA from 1 species